GGCCUGAUGGUCUAGUAGUAUGAUUCCUUGUUAGGGUAAUCGAGCGCUUUCGAGGAGGUCCCGGGUUCAAUUCCCGGUCAGGCCC
rnacentral:tRNA from 1 species